rnacentral:rRNA from 2 species
CCUGGUUGAUUCUGCCAGUAGUCAUAUGCUUGUCUCAAAGAUUAAGCCAUGCAUGUCUAAGUAUAAGCAACUAUACGGUGAAACUGCGAAUGGCUCAUUAAAUCAGUUAUCGUUUAUUUGAUAGUACCUUACUACAUGGAUAACCGUGGUAAUUCUAGAGCUAAUACAUGCUAAAAACCUCGACUUCGGAAGGGGUGUAUUUAUUAGAUAAAAAACCAAUGCCCUUCGGGGCUCCUUGGUGAAUCAUAAUAACUUAACGAAUCGCAUGGCCUUGCGCCGGCGAUGGUUCAUUCAAAUUUCUGCCCUAUCAACUUUCGAUGGUAGGAUAGUGGCCUACCAUGGUAUCAACGGGUAACGGGGAAUUAGGGUUCGACUCCGGAGAGGGAGCCUGAGAAACGGCUACCACAUCCAAGGAAGGCAGCAGGCGCGCAAAUUACCCAAUCCCGACACGGGGAGGUAGUGACAAUAAAUACUGAUACAGGGCUCUUUUGGGUCUUGUAAUUGGAAUGAGUACAAUUUAAAUCCCUUAACGAGGAACAAUUGGAGGGCAAGUCUGGUGCCAGCAGCCGCGGUAAUUCCAGCUCCAAUAGCGUAUAUUAAAGUUGUUGCAGUUAAAAAGCUCGUAGUUGAACCUUGGGCCUGGCUGGCCGGUCCGCCUCACCGCGUGUACUGGUCCGGCCGGGCCUUUCCUUCUGGGGAACCUCAUGCCCUUCACUGGGCGUGUUGGGGAACCAGGACUUUUACUUUGAAAAAAUUAGAGUGUUCAAAGCAGGCCUUUGCUCGAAUACAUUAGCAUGGAAUAAUAGAAUAGGACGUGUGGUUCUAUUUUGUUGGUUUCUAGGACCGCCGUAAUGAUUAAUAGGGAUAGUCGGGGGCAUCAGUAUUCAAUCGUCAGAGGUGAAAUUCUUGGAUUGAUUGAAGACUAACUACUGCGAAAGCAUUUGCCAAGGAUGUUUUCAUUAAUCAGUG